rnacentral:lncRNA from 1 species
GGCCCCUUCUCCCAUCUUGAACCAGUGUAACUGGAAGGAGGUGAACAGAAAACAUGAAUGAUGUAAUCAGAAAAGACAGAUUCUGAUGCCAUUUGUAAGAUGAAUUGAAUGGGAACAGUUCAAGGUAGGAUUUAUAGGGAUUGGAUAGAAUGAAGAAAGGAAACAUUAUCUCGAUCAGAAUAUAUCAAAUAAAAGAGGAAACCUGGAUGAGUUAUAAACUAAAGAGAGAGGCCGGGCGCGGUGGCUCACGCCUGUAAUCCCAGCACUUUGGGAGGCCGAGGCGGGUGGAUCACGAGGUCAGGAGAUGGAGACCAUCCUGGCUAACAAGGUGAAACCCCGUCUCUACUAAAAAUACAAAAAAUUAGCCGGGCGCGGUGGCGGGCGCCUGUAGUCCCAGCUACUCGGGAGGCUGAGGCAGGAGAAUGGCGUGAACCCGGGAAGCGGAGCU